UACGGAGGGUGCAAGCGUUGUCCGGAAUCAUUGGGCGUAAAGAGCUCGUAGGCGGCUUAGUUAGUCGGGUGUGAAACCCCCAGCUCAACCUGGGGACGCCACUCGAUACUGCUAUAGCUAGAGUCCAGUAGGGGAGUGUGGAAUUCCCGGUGUAGCGGUGAAAUGCGCAGAUAUCAGGAGGAACACCGGUGGCGAAGGCGGGUCUCUGGGCCGAUACUGACGCUGAGGAGCGAAAGCGUGGGGAGCGAACGGG
rnacentral:rRNA from 1 species